rnacentral:rRNA from 1 species
GAUGAACGCUGGCGGCGUGCCUAAUACAUGCAAGUCGAGCGAACAGAUGAGGAGCUUGCUCCUCUGACGUUAGCGGCGGACGGGUGAGUAACACGUGGAUAACCUACCUAUAAGACUGGGAUAACUUCGGGAAACCGGAGCUAAUACCGGAUCAUAUAUUGAACCGCAUGGUUCAAUAGUGAAAGACGGUUUUGCUGUCACUUAUAGAUGGAUCCGCGCCGCAUUAGCUAGUUGGUAAGGUAACGGCUUACCAAGGCAACGAUGCGUAGCCGACCUGAGAGGGUGAUCGGCCACACUGGAACUUAGACACGGUCCAGACUCCUACGGUAGGCAGCAGUAGGGAAUCUUCCGCAAUGGGCGAGAGCCUGACGGAGCAACGUCGCGUGAGUGAUGAAGGUCUUCGGAUCGUAAAACUCUGUUAUUAGGGAAGAACAAAUGUGUAAGUAACUAUGCACGUCUUGACGGUACCUAAUCAGAAAGCCACGGCUAACUACGUG